UGCCCCGUCGUCUAACGGUAAGACUACGGUUUCUGAUACCGUCUAUCGAGGUUCGAAUCCUUGCGGGGCAUCCA
rnacentral:tRNA from 1 species